rnacentral:rRNA from 1 species
UACAGAGGUCCCAAGCGUUGUUCGGAUUCACUGGGCGUAAAGGGUGCGUAGGUGGUCGGUUAAGUCUGAUGUGAAAUCCCGGAGCUUAACUCCGGAACGGCAUUGGAUACUAGCUGGCUUGAGGUUUGGAGGGGGGACUGGAAUUCUCGGUGUAGCAGUGAAAUGCGUAGAUAUCGAGAGGAACACCUGUGGCGAAGGCGAGUCCCUGGACAACACCUGACACUGAGGCACGAAAGCUAGGGGAGCAAACAGG